GCGCACGCUGGCGGCAGGCUUAACACAUGCAAGUCGAGCGGGCACUUUCGGGUGUCCGCGGCGGACGGGUGAGUAACGCGUGGGAACGUGCCCUCUGGUUCGGAAUAACUCAGGGAAACUUGAGCUAAUACCGGAUACGCCCUUUUGGGGAAAGGCUUGCUGCCGGAGGAUCGGCCCGCGUCUGAUUAGCUAGUUGGUGAGGUAACGGCUCACCAAGGCGACGAUCAGUAGCUGGUCUGAGAGGAUGAUCAGCCACACUGGGACUGAGACACGGCCCAGACUCCUACGGGAGGCAGCAGUGGGGAAUAUUGGACAAUGGGCGCAAGCCUGAUCCAGCCAUGCCGCGUGAGUGAUGAAGGUCUUAGGGUUGUAAAGCUCUUUUAUCCGGGACGAUAAUGACGGUACCGGAGGAAUAAGCCCCGGCUAACUUCGUG
rnacentral:rRNA from 1 species